GACGAACGCUGGCGGCGUGCUUAACACAUGCAAGUCGAACGGAAGGGCCCUGCGUUUGUGGGGUGCUCGUGUGGCGAACGGGUGAGUAACACGUGAGUAACCUGCCCUUGACUUUGGGAUAACUUCAGGAAACUGGGGCUAAUACCGGAUAGGAGCUCCUGCUGCAUGGUGGGCGUUGGAAAGUUUCGGCGGUUGGGGAUGGACUCGCGGCUUAUCAGCUUGUUGGUGGGGUAGUGGCUUACCAAGGCUUCGACGGGUAGCCGGCCUGAGAGGGUGACCGGCCACAUUGGGACUGAGAUACGGCCCAGACUCCUACGGGAGGCAGCAGUGGGGAGUAUUGCGCAAUGGGCGGAAGCCUGAUGCAGCAACGCCGCGUGCGGGAUGACGGCCUUCGGGUUGUAAACCGCUUUCGCCUGUGACGAAGCGUGAGUGACGGUAAUGGGUAAAGAAGCACCGGCUAACUACGUG
rnacentral:rRNA from 1 species